GCCAUUAUGCCCGAGUGGUCUAAGGGGGUGGACUUAAGAUCCACUAGACUUUCGUCUGCGUGGGUUCAAACCCCACUGAUGGCA
rfam:Aphanomyces astaci strain APO3 cont1.3892, whole genome shotgun sequence.